AGAGGUUCGUGGUAGGAGAGCGUUCUAAGGGCGGUGAAGUCAGACCGGAAGGACUGGUGGAGCGCUUAGAAGUGAGAAUGCCGGUAUGAGUAGCGAAAGAAGGGUGAGAAUCCCUUCCACCGAAUAUCUAAGGUUUCCUGAGGAAGGCUCGUCCGCUCAGGGUUAGUCGGGACCUAAGCCGAGGCCGAUAGGCGUAGGCGAUGGACAACAGGUAGAGAUUCCUGUACCAGUGCUAAUUGUUUAACCGAUGGGGUGACACAGAAGGAUAGGGAAUCGCACGAAUGGAAAUGUGCGUCCAAGCAGUGAGUGUGAGAAGUAGGCAAAUCCGCUUCUCGCGAAGCAUGAGCUGUGAUGGGGAAGGAAAUUAAGUACGGAAGUUCCUGAUUUCACGCUGUCAAGAAAAGCCUCUAGGAAGAGUAGUACUGCCCGUACCGCAAACCGACACAGGUAGAUGAGGAGAGAAUCCUAAGGUGAGCGAGAGAACUCUCGUUAAGGAACUCGGCAAAAUGACCCCGUAACUUCGGGAGAAGGGGUGCUCUAUUAGGGUGAAAGCCCGAGAGAGCCGCAGUGAAUAGGCCCAGGCGACUGUUUAGCAAAAACACAGGUCUCUGCAAAACCGUAAGGUGACGUAUAGGGGCUGACGCCUGCCCGGUGCUGGAAGGUUAAGAGGAGUGCUUAGCUUCGGCGAAGGUACGAAUUGAAGCCCCAGUAAACGGCGGCCGUAACUAUAACGGUCCUAAGGUAGCGAAAUUCCUUGUCGGGUAAGUUCCGACCCGCACGAAAGGCGCAACGAUCUGGGCACUGUCUCAACGAGAGACUCGGUGAAAUUAUAGUACCUGUGAAGAUGCAGGUUACCCGCGACAGGACGGAAAGACCCCGUGGAGCUUUACUGCAACCUGAUAUGGAAUGUUUGUACCGCUUGUACAGGAUAGGUAGGAGCCGAAGAGACGUGUGCGCUAGCAUACGAGGAGGCAAUGGUGGGAUACUACCCUGGCUGUAUGACCAUUCUAACCCGCCACGCUUAGCGCGUGGGGAGACAGUGUCAGGUGGGCAGUUUGACUGGGGCGGUCGCCUCCUAAAGAGUAACGGAGGCGCCCAAAGGUUCCCUCAGAAUGGAUGGAAAUCAUUCGCAGAGUGUAAAGGCACAAGGGAGCUUGACUGCGAGACUGACAAGUCGAGCAGGGACGAAAGUCGGGCUUAGUGAUCCGGUGGUUCCGCAUGGAAGGGCCAUCGCUCAACGGAUAAAAGCUACCCCGGGGAUAACAGGCUUAUCUCCCCCAAGAGUCCACAUCGACGGGGAGGUUUGGCACCUCGAUGUCGGCUCGUCGCAUCCUGGGGCUGUAGUCGGUCCCAAGGGUUGGGCUGUUCGCCCAUUAAAGCGGCACGCGAGCUGGGUUCAGAACGUCGUGAGACAGUUCGGUCCCUAUCCGUCGCGGGCGCAGGAAAUUUGAGAGGAGCUGUCCUUAGUACGAGAGGACCGGGAUGGACACACCGCUGGUGUACCAGUUGUUCCGCCAGGAGCAUCGCUGGGUAGCUAUGUGUGGCAGGGAUAAACGCUGAAAGCAUCUAAGCGUGAAGCCCCCCUCAAGAUGAGAUUUCCCAUUUCUUCGGAAAGUAAGAUCCCUGAAAGAUGAUCAGGUAGAUAGGUUUGGAGUGGAAGUGUAGCGAUACAUGGAGCGGACAAAUACUAAUCGAUCGAGGACUUAACCAAAAA
rnacentral:rRNA from 1 species